rnacentral:rRNA from 1 species
UACGUAGGGGGCAAGCGUUGUCCGGAAUCAUUGGGCGUAAAGCGCGUGUAGGCGGCUCGAUAAGUCUGCUGUGAAAGUCCAGGGCUCAACCCUGGAAUGCCGGUGGAAACUGUCGAGCUAGAGUCCGGAAGAGGCGAGUGGAAUUCCUGGUGUAGCGGUGAAAUGCGCAGAUAUCAGGAGGAACACCAAUAGCGAAGGCAGCUCGCUGGGACGUUACUGACGCUGAGGCGCGAAAGCGUGGGGAGCGAACAGG